UCUAGGGUGUCAGCAGUGAGGAAUAUUGGUCAAUGGGAGAGAUCCUGAACCAGCCAAGCCGCGUGAGGGAAGACGGCCCUAUGGGUUGUACACCUCUUUUGUCGGAGAACAAAACCCGGGACGUGUCCCGGACUGCGUGUAUCCGAAGAAAAAGCAUCGGCUAACUCCGUUCCAGCAGCCGCGGUAAUACGGAGGAUGCGAGCAUUAUCAGGUUUUAUUGGGUUUAAAGGGUGCGUAGGCGGGCCGUUAAGUCGGCGGUAAAAUUGCGGGGGGCAACCCUGUCGCGCCGUUGAAACUGUCAGACUUGAGUUGGCGAGAAGUACGCGGAAUGCGCGGUGUAGCGGUGAGAUGCAUAGAUAUCGCGCAGAACUCCGAGUGCGAAGGCAGCGUACCGGCGCCAGACUGACGCUGAGGCACGAAAGCGUGGGGAUCGAACAGGAUUAGAUACCCCUGUAGUC
rnacentral:rRNA from 1 species